rnacentral:rRNA from 1 species
CCUACGGGGUGCAGCAGUGGGGAAUAUUGGACAAUGGGCGAAAGCCUGAUCGAGCCAUGCCGCGUGUGUGAAGAAGGCCUUCGGGUUGUAAAGCACUUUCAGUGGGGAAGAAAGCCUUGGGGCUAAUACCCUCGAGGAAGGACAUCACCCACAGAAGAAGCACCGGCUAACUCCGUGCCAGCAGCCGCGGUAAUACGGAGGGUGCGAGCGUUAAUCGGAAUUACUGGGCGUAAAGCGCGCGUAGGCGGUCUGAUAAGUCGGUUGUGAAAGCCCCGGGCUCAACCUGGGAACGGCAUCCGGAACUGUCAGGCUAGAGUGCAGGAGAGGAAGGUAGAAUUCCCGGUGUAGCGGUGAAAUGCGUAGAGAUCGGGAGGAAUACCAGUGGCGAAGGCGGUCUUCUGGACUGACACUGACGCUGAGGUGCGAAAGCGUGGGUAGCAAACAGGAUUAGAUACCCGGGUAGUC